UACGUAGGGUGCGAGCGUUGUCCGGAAUUAUUGGGCGUAAAGGGCUCGUAGGCGGUCUGUCACGUCAGGAGUGAAAACUCGGGGCUCAACCCCGAGCCUGCUUCUGAUACGGGCAGACUAGAGGUAUGCAGGGGAGAACGGAAUUCCUGGUGUAGCGGUGAAAUGCGCAGAUAUCAGGAGGAACACCGGUGGCGAAGGCGGCGACCUGGUCCGACACUGACGCUGAGGCGCGAAAGCGUGGGGAGCAAACAGG
rnacentral:rRNA from 1 species